rnacentral:lncRNA from 1 species
GAAGAUCGAACCCAGGCCGCACACAUGCCAGGCGAGCUCGCUACCACUUGAGCCACAUCCCCAGCCCCCCAAGAAACUCUUAAAGUUAGAAAAAAAUAUAAAAAGUACCUGCAAUAAAUUCCACUCAGUAGUAGAUAGUAUUUUUAAGUUCCUUUGCAUAUUAUUUUACAUUUGCAGGGUGGAUAUCUUGAGAUUGUACUGAUUGUACAAUAGGAAAUCCUGAUUUUUUUUCUCCACCAAUGACAACCAUUUUUCUCCUAUCCUUAAAACUGUACAUAAAUACAUCCCAUAGUAUUUGAUAUUCAAGUACUUUUUGCUUAUUAACUCUGCUAUAAUUCAUUUGAUUGCUCAUUUAUUUUUCAUUUAUCAGCUGUAUAAUGUACCAUAUGUUGUGCUUAUAUUUUUCCAUAGUAAAUCAUUAACUUCUUGUGAGUAGAGAGACCAUUUCUUUUUAAUUUCCCAAAACCUCUGAGUAUACAGUUAAUUAAAUGAAAAGUGGUGAGUAAAUACUUGAAAAUUAGUUUAUCAUAAUUUCCUUUUUCCUCAACUCUUUGCACACCAUUUUUACAUCAAAGUACACCUCCAUUGGAUACAUUGACUGUUGAUCGUCUUUUAAUAGAAAGGUA